rnacentral:rRNA from 1 species
UACAGAGGUCUCAAGCGUUGUUCGGAUUCAUUGGGCGUAAAGGGUGCGUAGGUGGCGUGGUAAGUCGGAUGUGAAAUCCCGGGGCUCAACCCCGGAACUGCAUUCGAUACUGCCAUGCUAGAGUACUGGAGAGGAGAUUGGAAUUUACGGUGUAGCAGUGAAAUGCGUAGAUAUCGUAAGGAAGACCAGUGGCGAAGGCGGAUCUCUGGACAGUUACUGACACUGAGCACGAAGGCCAGGGAGACAA